GUUGCGGACCAGCUGCUCGCUCCUUUACCCAGAGAUCGCGUCGGUGCCGAACGCGUCCACGAUGGCCGGCGGCCAUUCAUAUUUCGCAUCGUUUUCGCUCAAAUAAUAACUAUGGAUUGCAGAGCUCACAAACCUGUAUCCAACGGGGGUAUUGGAUGAACCCAGCCUGAUGUACCUUCUGCAGCAGCAAAUAUCUCACUAGCUCCGAGCACACCCAACGAGUCUGAUUUUCCUCAGUUCCAUGGAAUACAGCGUAAGAUGAAAGCAGUCUUCCCAGCCAAAAGGAGUAGGCGUAAAUUCAACAACUACUACAAGCCGCCGUGAUACACGGCCAGGAUGGAGGGAUGCCAUCUCUGAUACGCGUGCUACCGGCCUGAGUGACGAUGAGAGUCGCGACACCGGCGACACUGCAGCAACAACACGCGACAACACGACACUCACGCACGCGAUGUCUGAUCCAUAGUUGCUUUACCUAUUCUGUUUGACACUAUUUUAGUUAUCUACGAUUACUAAUUUUAUAAUCAUGUUCACUGGUAUAUCGCUAUUUGUAUCUCGAUAUAUAUUUGUUUACUCUGUUCUAAGGUACUGUGAAUGUAUACAAUUAAUUUGUAAUAUGUAAACAUAGUAAAACGUCCCCCCGGACAGCAGGGAAUAUUGUGCGGGUACCACUGGUCCUGGGGGCUGGCUGUAAGGAACGAAUGACUAAGUGAAUGAUAUCUCCCGCUAGAGCGGGCUAUUUAAUAUUUAAUCAGAUUCUUGGUGUUAGCGUAGUUUUAUGUUAAAGAGACGCCGUAAU